rnacentral:rRNA from 1 species
UACGUAGGGUGCGAGCGUUGUCCGGAAUUAUUGGGCGUAAAGAGCUCGUAGGCGGUUUGUCGCGUCGACUGUGAAAACCCGAGGCUUAACCUCGGGCCUGCAGUCGAUACGGGCAGACUAGAGUUCGGUAGGGGAGACUGGAAUUCCUGGUGUAGCGGUGAAAUGCGCAGAUAUCAGGAGGAACACCGGUGGCGAAGGCGGGUCUCUGGGCCGAUACUGACGCUGAGGAGCGAAAGCGUGGGGAGCAAACGGG